rnacentral:rRNA from 1 species
GAUGAACGCUAGCUACAGGCUUAACACAUGCAAGUCGAGGGGCAUCAGGAAGAAAGCUUGCUUUCUUUGCUGGCGACCGGCGCACGGGUGAGUAACACGUAUCCAACCUGCCCUUUACUCGGGGAUAGCCUUUCGAAAGAAAGAUUAAUACCCGAUAGCAUAAUGAUUCCGCAUGGUUUCAUUAUUAAAGGAUUCCGGUAAAAGAUGGGGAUGCGUUCCAUUAGGUUGUUGGUGAGGUAACGGCCCACCAAGCCUUCGAUGGAUAGGGGUUCUGAGAGGAA